GGGGACGUAGCUCAGUGGUAGAGCAGUGGACUCUUAAUCCAUUUGUCGAGGGUUCGAAUCCCUCCGUCCUCACCA
rnacentral:tRNA from 1 species